GAAAAGGCGGGGUAAGAGCCCACCGCUUUUAUAGCAAUAUAAAAGGCAUGGCAAGCCCUCCCGGUGCAAUCUCAAAUAGGUGACCUAUAGGUUUGAUUCCACCUGGUCAUGGGUAGAGAGCAAAGAGUUCUUUAAGUAACUAAAGAACCAAGAUAAAUAGCUAUCAUUCGAAAGAAUACAGAAUCCGGCUUACAGACAGGAUGCUUAG
rnacentral:RNase_P_RNA from 1 species